rnacentral:rRNA from 1 species
CUCUACGGCCAUACCACCCUGAACGCGCCCAAUCUCAUCUGAUCUCGGAAGCUAAGCAGGGUAGGGCCUGGUUAGGACUUGAAUUUAUCUGAUAUUUUCUUAUUGUUGGGU